CCUACGGGUGGCUGCAGUGGGGAAUAUUGCUCAAUGGACGCAACUCUGACGCAGCAACGCCGCGUGAAGGAUGAAGGUUUUCGGAUUGUAAACUCCUUUUGAUGGAGAAGAUCAUAACGCUGUCCACCUUAUAUAAGCCACGUCUAACCGUGCGCCAGCAGCCGCGGUAAUACGUAGGUGGCAAGUGUUGUCCGGACUUACUGGGUGUAAAGCGCGUGCAGGCGGAGAAACAAGUCAGAUGUGAAAUCCAAAGGCUUAACCUGUGAACUGCAUUUGAAACUGUUUCCCUAGAGUAUGGGAGAGGUAAUCGGAAUUCUUAGUGUAGGGGUAAAAUGCGUAGAUAUUAGGAGGAACACCCGUGGCGAAGGCGAAUGGCUAGAACAUAACUGACGGUGAGGCGCGAAAGCGUGGGGAGCAAACAGGAUUAGAUACCCUAGUAGUC
rnacentral:rRNA from 1 species